AUGUGUUUUAAAAUAUAUAUAUUAAACACAGUACUCACAUUAGAAGUAAUAAUAACUAGGAUGAAAGAGCAGAAACGUAAGAGGAAAAAAACAUGCAAACUUCAUUCUAAUCUUAUUUCUUAUAGCCCUUUCCUUUUCCUUGGCCCUUAUAAUGCCUUUUUACUUAAAAAAAAAAAAAAAAACCACCAAAAUAUUGUGUUUACUUUUGCAAACUGCCUGCUUCUCAUGUCUGUGCUUCACCCCAGAUCUUCUCUCAGGCUAUGGGCAUCAUAUCACUUGUGGUUCAGAGUUGGUCCUGCCCCACUGAUCUACAAAAAACAUGGUUUGUUUUAUCUUGAGUGAACCACUGAAUCUAUAACUAACAAACUGAUUUUAAAGCAACAGCUUCCCCUGGAGCCCAGUGCUGUGGUGUUUUGGAGUCAGGCGUGAAUCUAAGCUCAUGUUGACCACCACCUAGUUGUCUCAGGUGGGUCAAUUCAUUUACUUAAGAGCAAUGAGCUUUUGUUUCCACAGCUGUAAAAUACACAAUUCCCUUCUUAACUGGAUUUAUAAAAGUUACAAAACUUAUAAAUACUUUUUAUAAACUGUCAAAAAAUACAGAUGUGUAUGAAGAGUUGUUAUUCUUACCUGUCAUUCCAGCCAUCCUGAUGUAAUUAAUAUUUUGAUGUGAAUCCUCAUUUGUCUUUCUCUAUAUGCUUUCAAGUUUAUAGCAAUAUAGCAUCUUACCACAUAUUGAGAGCUCAAAAAAUCUAUGUUAAGUGAAUAAAAUAAGGUAUAUAUAUAUAUAUAGACACACACACACACAGAGAUAUAUUAUACACAGGAGUUUUUCCUUUUUAUAAAAAUAAGACCUGACUGUAUGUAUUAUUCCACAGCAUGCUUUUGUUGAUGUGAUUUCUGAUUGAUUCAUUUUUUUUUUUUUGCCUAUAAAACACUGCAGUAACGAACUUCCUUGUACAUAAACCAUUAUGUACUGGUGCUUUCGUUUUUAAAAAUGUUCUUCAAUGUAAGAUUGUGGAGUCUAAAGUAGGCACUUUAAAUUUUUGAAUAGAUAUUGUCAGUUACUUUCCAAAACUAGUUAUAGUAGUGUACAUGUUUACCAUCAAUAUAUGGACUUUUCAUUUCUUAAAAUGGGAAUUCUAAUACUUACAUUGUAGAAUUAUUAAGAAGAUAUGAUAACUUGCUUUCCCUCUGUCUUUGUAGAUAGGGUGCCUGGCAUACAGUUGUGCCAAAAGGCUUUUUUAUUUUUUUCCCAUUUUCAUUUCCAUGCUUUCUUGUUACUGGAUAUGUCUCAUGAAAACUCUGACAUCUUUCUACCUUUCUCAUUGACUGUCACAAGGAAUGUGAAAUGUGUGGGAAACAGGAUCCAACUAAAGUCAAAAUAGUUUCUGCUUAUGUAAGUGCUCUUCGGACUAACCUUACCAGUUAGAAGAAUAUCUUUCUGUUGGCCACAAAGCGAACCCUAGACAAGGUGACUGUGUACCUCACAGCUGGCCCAGCACAGUCUCUGUUUUUGCCUGUCGUUGCAGUGUCCUUUCUGUUUAGUGCCUCUUGUCACUUUCAAAAGUGCCCCUAUUUAUGUGGUUACCCUGUCUAAAGCUAAAAAUGGUCUAUUUAAAACAGCAGGAAAAAGAACAGAUUAAAGCUUAUAGAUGAAAUUAGAGAGGGGCAAAAACACUUAAAGACUUUACUGUAGAGGGGCUAAGUCACCCAAUAGGCAGCAAGACUUAAAAAGCUUAAGGCAUUAAGGAAGAACAAAAUGGAAAUAAUCAAUUAAACUUUUUCUCCUCUUUUGCCUGGAUGAGUGAAAAUGAAAGUUUCCAGUUGAGUAUGUCUGAGAGAUUAUCCCAGUUAAUGUUAGGAUGAAGAUUUAUAUAGUGUGCACAUUACUGCUUUGCCUUGGGAACCAGAAAUGUGGAGUGUUUAUUAAGUAGGUUUCUGUUUUUGUUGAACAGGUAUUUUUCUCUUAUGACCUGGUUCCACUGUAUGAUUACAUCUCUUUGCAUAAUUUGUAUUUGAUAUAUGUAUAAAUCCCCGUUUUGAACAGACCAUAUGGAAAGCUCCACGAGUGCCCUGGGAACCAGGGGUAUGCAGUGAUUAACCAUGGGUUCUGCUAUUUGUGCAGCAGAUGAGCAGAGCUGUGAAAUAAAAGGCAUCACACAAUGGUUUCAUCGCCCUUAUUUUGUCCUUUGUUUGGUGAUGCUUUACUAAGGAUAAGAAAGUAAAACAAAAUAAAAAGAAAUCCCAGACAAGCAAGGAAGAGAAAUGGUAAAUAGUUUUUCAGAAUAGAAUUGAAGGAGG
ensembl:lncRNA